UACGGGGGGGGUAAGCGUUGUUCGGAAUUACUGGGCGUAAAGGGCUCGUAGGCGGCCAACUAAGUCAGACGUGAAAUCCCUCAGCUUAACUGGGGAACUGCGUCCGAUACUGGAAGGCUUGAAUCCGGGAGAGGGAUGCGGAAUUCCAGGUGUAGCGGUGAAAUGCGUAGAUAUCUGGAGGAACACCGGUGGCGAAGGCGGCAUCCUGGACCGGUAUUGACGCUGAGGCGCGAAAGCCAGGGGAGCAAACAGG
rnacentral:rRNA from 1 species